UCUUGUAUGUUUUUUAUUCAAUACAUGCAACAUUUCUGUUGUCUAAAUGUAAACCACCCAUAUAAGUCAGAUAUUCCUAGAAUCUUCUAUGAAUCUUUUACGUGUAUUUGCUGCCAUAUGUGUUACUUACAAGUUCCAGGUAGAAUUGAUAAGAAUCUUGUUAAAUUCUUUUAUAUCUUUUCCAUAUGGGUAGUGUUAUUUUCAUAGCCAUGAGAAGCAGUCUAUUUGACACAAUAAUACAGUGAUAAAACAGGUUCCUAGACAAAUGAUUGAACUGUGGACUAUGGACUCCUUAAGCUGCGCUGUUAUCGUAGUUCUGAGCAUGUCACUACCAUUCCCACCAUCCAACAGGUAAGAUAGAAUAUCCAUACAAUCCCUGCAUACAGUCAACAGUAUUUGGUCAAAAGAGUGCAGGUUGCAGUAAUGAACGUAGGAAUGAAUAUCUUCUGUUCAGGUAAGGGUUCUUACAGCAUGCUUGAAGAGUGUUUGUACCAAAUUUCUUGCUGUUUUUUUGUACCUCAGGGUUUUUGGCUUGGGUGUGGAUGUUAUGUUCCACAAAGUCAAUAACCAACUUGUUUGUUAUGCAAUUAGAAUGUACUGUAUAAGGAUCCAUAUAAGAUCUGAAUUCUAUCUCACUUUUCAAACAGGAUGCUCUUACAGGCUGGUCUUCUUUAAUGAUUGUAUACAGUAUAUGGAUGGCCAAAACAAUCGAUCAUGUGACACCAUUCAUUCCUAUGUGAAGACUCAAUAGCGCAUUGAAGGCAAGUGAAGUAGGUUAAGAUGAAGUCUCAUGGAGACAUAACAUGCGCAGUUUGAGCUACUCCAGGAAGUGACGCUGCAGGCUAGCUGAUUGCUGCCCCCUCUCAUACGGUACUGCAGGCUGCUAUUAGCAACUAAAUUAUCCUUAUAACUUCUUCUGUGUGCAAAUUUGUAAAAAAUCAGUUCAAGGACAUACAUUUGGUGUUGUAGAUGCAAUUAUUGGUACCAUGAUUGUCUCCAGAUUGACCAAAAAGAUAGCAAUUUUUCCAUUCCUUAUGAUGGGAGAUCCUGUUUUCGGCAACCAUUGCCUUGCAGUACUGCGGUCGGGCUAGAACUUCUGUGGCUUUAACUAGAGAGGGCAGUCAUUCUCCCCAGUCUUUCUAUUAGUACAAUAUAAAUAAUUAGUACGAUAUAAAGUACUUUGCAACCUAAUGAAUUGUGCAAUAUACAGUAAAUUAAAACAAUUCAUAAUCAUAAUUAAUUCAUAACCAUACACUAACAUAUCUGCAGCAUCAGCAGCACCACACCUCCAUAGCUCAUAAGCUCUACAGCCCAGCAGCUGCUGCGCUCCCAGCGGGAUGUGCUCCUGGGGUGGACCUGCAUCCACCCUGCCCCCCUACUACGCUGGCUAUGUGACGCCGGGGUACUUUCUCAUGCCCACUACCUGUCCCUGCUGGAGCGUUCGCCCUCCAAUGCCGUUGCGCAGGAGAGCAGCCGCGGCUUCCUGCAGGUCCUGAGGGAGGUGCAGGACUACUACUGUGAUGAGCUGCAGGUCUGGGUGGAGAGACACUGCAGGGAGAGGACGGAAGGGACAAAGGAGGCCAAACCGGUUAGAGUUGAGGGUGAACCUGGCUGCAGCGGAGUUGUAGCCUGGUCCCAGAUCUGUUUGUGCCAUCUGCCAACUCCUAUUGUCAUUGGUUGUCAGAGCGCAAACAGAUCUGUGACCAGGCUAGGCGGCAAGGCAGUUGUGAUGUUUGUAAAUAAAUGACUGGUGGUUGUAAUAGUGUUGUCAUUGAGGUUAUGCCAAACGCAGGCUUCCGAUUAUGUUUGAUUAAAAAAUAAGAUAUUGGCAGUGUGUGCCAAACCUGAUGCUGAAAAACUGGAAAAUUCAUUAAACGAGAAUUAUGUCAGAUUGACUUAUUGAACUAUAGGACGUUAUGGGGAAAUUAUUAACAUAGUCAAUUCAGGCUUGUAGUAUUCAAAUGAAGUGCAGUUCACUGAACUGUGGCAAAGCCUCUAAUGUCUUGCCAAGCAAGGUCUUAACUACUACAGAUUGGACUGGCAAGCGGUUUGCGUACAUGCUCAUCCUUGCACAGCGAUAGAAAAGGAAUUCAUCGUAGCCUGUUAUAUAGUAGUCAAUAAAAUACUCAUUUUAUUGCAUUUACAUAACAAUGGCUAACUGUGAACUUUAACAUCUUCUCACAAAGCAACUAAGUUUUUCUAGCCCAAAAGCCCCAUUUCAAAACUGUUACAUUUACAUUUACAUUUUAGUCAUUUAGCAGACGCUCUUAUCCAGAGCGACUUACAAAUUGACUGUUCAAAGGCAAGAGUAAAUUCACUGUGACCCCUGAGGUCAAAGGUAAUGAAUUCCAUUAUCAUCCACCAUCAAUAUUUAAGAUAUGAGAUGAUGAAUCAAUUAUCACUAACAUGCUUUCUAUAGUGUGCCCAACUGACACACAUCGGUAAUAUCACACAAUUAAAUAUAUUCAAUCCCCAGGUGGGGAAAAUGUAUCUUUCAAAUGAGUCAAAUGUAUCAUUUAAAUCGUUGUCUUGAUCAUUUAGUUGAGGAAGAGUUGAAACCUCGGCGGAGUGUAAAAUCUUCUCAUCUCAGAGACCAUUUCCGGAGACCUUCUCCCCUUCCUCACCACGCUCAUCAACUCAUCCUUGACCGCUGGCUACGUCCCUUCCGUCUUCAAGAGAGCGAGAGUUGCACCCCUUCUGAAAAAACCUAC